rnacentral:rRNA from 1 species
AACUUCGGAAGAAGGUGCGCCCUAUUAGUGUGAAGUGAACAACGGAGCAUGAAUGGGUUGCAAAAAAUCGGUGGCUGCGACUGUUUAUUAAAAACACAGCACUCUGCAAACACGAAAGUGGACGUAUAGGGUGUGACGCCUGCCCGGUGCUGGAAGAUUAAAUGAUGGGGUGCAAGCUCUUGAUUGAAGUCCCAGUAAACGGCGGCCGUAACUAUAACGGUCCUAAGGUAGCGAAAUUCCUUGUCGGGUAAGUUCCGACCUGCACGAAUGGCGUAACGAUGGCCACACUGUCUCCUCCUGAGACUCAGCGAAGUUGAAAUGUUUGUGAUGAUGCAAUCUCCCCGCGGAAAGACGGAAAGACCCCAUGAACCUUUACUGUAGCUUUGUAUUGGACUUUGAACAGAUCUGUGUAGGAUAGGUGGGAGGCUUUGAAGCAGGGUCGCUAGAUCUUGUGGAGCCAACGUUGAAAUACCACCCUGGUGUGUUUGAGGUUCUAACCUAGGUCCAUUAUCUGGAUCGGGGACAGUGCAUGGUAGGCAGUUUGACUGAGGCGGUCUCCUCCCAAAGCGUAACGGAGGAGUUCGAAGGUACGCUAGUUACGGUCGGACAUCGUGACGAUAGUGCAAUGGCAUAAGCGUGCUUAACUGCGAGACUGACAAGUCGAGCAGAUGCGAAAGCAGGACAUAGUGAUCCGGUGGUUCUGUAUGGAAGGGCCAUCGCUCAACGGAUAAAAGGUACUCUGGGGAUAACAGGCUGAUACCGCCCAAGAGUUCAUAUCGACGGCGGUGUUUGGCACCUCGAUGUCGGCUCAUCUCAUCCUGGGGCUGUAGCCGGUCCCAAGGGUAUGGCUGUUCGCCAUUUAAAGAGGUACGUGAGCUGGGUUUAAAACGUCGUGAGACAGUUUGGUCCCUAUCUUCCGUGGGCGCUGCAGAUUUGAGGAAGCCUGCUCCUAGUACGAGAGGACCGGAGUGGACACACCUCUGGUGUAUCGGUUGUCACGCCAGUGGCAUUGCCGAGUAGCUAAGUGUGGAAGAGAUAACCGCUGAAAGCAUCUAAGCGGGAAACUCGUUUCAAGAUGAGAUCUGCCGGGGCCUUGAGCCCCCUGAAGAGUCGUUCAAGACCAGGACGUUGAUAGGUCAGGUGUGGAAGCGCAGUAAUGCGUUAAGCUAACUGAUACUAAUUGCUCGUGCGGCUUGACCCG